rnacentral:rRNA from 1 species
AGAGUUUGUUCCUGGCUCAGGAUGAACGCUAGCUACAGGCUUAACACAUGCAAGUCGAGGGGCAGCAUGGUCUUAGCUUGCUAAGGCCGAUGGCGACCGGCGCACGGGUGAGUAACACGUAUCCAACCUGCCGUCUACUCUUGGACAGCCUUCUGAAAGGAAGAUUAAUACAAGAUGGCAUCAUGAGUCCGCAUGUUCACAUGAUUAAAGGUAUUCCGGUAGACGAUGGGGAUGCGUUCCAUUAGAUAGUAGGCGGGGUAACGGCCCACCUAGUCUUCGAUGGAUAGGGGUUCUGAGAGGAAGGUCCCCCACAUUGGAACUGAGACACGGUCCAAACUCCUACGGGAGGCAGCAGUGAGGAAUAUUGGUCAAUGGGCGAGAGCCUGAACCAGCCAAGUAGCGUGAAGGAUGACUGCCCUAUGGGUUGUAAACUUCUUUUAUAAAGGAAUAAAGUCGGGUAUGCAUACCCGUUUGCAUGUACUUUAUGAAUAAGGAUCGGCUAACUCCGUGCCAGCAGCCGCGGUAAUACGGAGGAUCCGAGCGUUAUCCGGAUUUAUUGGGUUUAAAGGGAGCGUAGAUGGAUGUUUAAGUCAGUUGUGAAAGUUUGCGGCUCAACCGUAAAAUUGCAGUUGAUACUGGGUGUCUUGAGUACAGUAGAGGCAGGCGGAAUUCGUGGUGUAACGGUGAAAUGCUUAGAUAUCACGAAGAACUCCGAUUGCGAAGGCAGCUUGCUGGACUGUAACUGACGCUGAUGCUCGAAAGUGUGGGUAUCAAACAGGAUUAGAUCCCCUGGUAGUUCCACACCAGUAAACGAUGAAUACUUCGCUGUUUGCGAUAUACAGUAAGCGGCCAAGCGAAAGCGUUAAGUAUUCCACUUGGGGAGUACGCCGGCAACGGUGAAACUCAAAGGAAUUGACGGGGGCCCGCACAAGCGGAGGAACAUGUGGUUUAAUUCGAUGAUACGCGAGGAACCUUACCCGGGCUUGAAUUGCAACUGAAUGAUGUGGAGACAUGUCAGCCGCAAGGCAGUUGUGAAGGUGCUGCAUGGUUGUCGUCAGCUCGUGCCGUGAGGUGUCGGCUUAAGUGCCAUAACGAGCGCAACCCUUAUCGAUAGUUACCAUCAGGUUAUGCUGGGGACUCUGUCGAGACUGCCGUCGUAAGAUGUGAGGAAGGUGGGGAUGACGUCAAAUCAGCACGGCCCUUACGUCCGGGGCUACACACGUGUUACAAUGGGGGGUACAGAAGGCAGCUACACGGCGACGUGAUGCUAAUCCCGAAAGCCUCUCUCAGUUCGGAUUGGAGUCUGCAACCCGACUCCAUGAAGCUGGAUUCGCUAGUAAUCGCGCAUCAGCCACGGCGCGGUGAAUACGUUCCCGGGCCUUGUACUCAUCGCCCGUCAAG